UUGUAAGCCACAGUCACGCUUCACUGAUCGUCUCAUCGGUUUAUUAAAUAUACCAGUGCUCCAUUUCCUGUUUGAUCAGUGAAAUACUAGUUCUUUCCAUCACUUCCAAGUGAAGUUUUCUGAGUAUCUACCAUAGUCCCGCCUGCCCUGCCUGCCCAACCUGCUCUCCGGACCCGUCCUUCUCGUUCCUCCCGUCUUGUCGUUGCUCCGUCCCGUCAUUCUUCGUAGGACUGGCCUCUCCGAAGCCCGACCCCUGGCAUCCGUCACGACCACUCUUUUGAAUUCUCCCCUUGGCUACAGGUGUACCCGAUUCCCUAAAGUCCCGUUCUCCCGCAUUCUAGGGUCUGCCUCUUCUCUGUUUGCCUGGUUUCACAAUUAGGGCUUAUGCUUAUGUAAGAACAAUAUUAAACAUGACCUAACAGGA